rnacentral:misc_RNA from 1 species
GUAUCCUUACUAACUUCCCUCAUCUGGGUACUCUUAGCAUUUGCAAUUCCCACUUUUAUCAUCUUACACAUAUGUAUAUAUAAUAUAGUUCAUAGCCAUCCGCACGUGUAUAUUAAGGUUGUCGACAUUUUUGUGCUUAUUUGGUUUUUGGGUUGAUUGAGAUUUGUUUUUUGGAUUGGUUUUUCUGUUUCACAUGGGUUGAGGAAUAUGAGUUUUGUUAGGUUUUAUGUUCAGAUUAAUAAAAUUAAUAUAUGUUCUUAAAAUUUGGUUAGUUCUUUUCAAAUGCAACGCUUCUUUAUAUUUGUGUUGUAGGUGCAAAAUAUGUGUGUACGUGUGUAGAGGAUCUUUAUUAUUUUCAUGCUUUAUGGUGUUUUUGUUGAUCAAAAUGCUGUUCACUGGAUGGUUCUUGUGGGCUACAUGUUGACUGAUGUUGGCUGUGAAUUGGGUUUUGUAUAUGCUUUGGGUGGUUACUGAUCUUGCUGAGAUUGCUUUCGGUGGAUGAAGAUUUAGCUUUUGUGAUUAAGCUUUUUGUGCUAUUCUGCUAAACAUGGACAUCAUGUCAUUAUGUAUGGAUUCAAAUAAAUAAACAUUUAUAAAUUGAAUUGAUUGACUUGUGGUUUGUUAUAUCCUUUACUGUCACUUUUUCAGAG